rnacentral:rRNA from 1 species
GCCUAAAGGCUGAACCAGUAACUUGGAAGAAUGUAAAUGUAUUAUUCAUUAAUACAAUAACGAUUAAUUCGUAUAAAAUUCUAAAUAGAAUAAUGAUAAUGACAAUUAUCUAUUUAUAAGUCUUGACCAAAUUACGUGCCAGCAGUCGCGGUAAUACGUAAAAGACUAGUGUUAGUCAUCUUUAUUAGGUUUAAAGGGUACCUAGACGGUAAAUUAAACUCUUAUUGAGUAUCUUUUUACUAGAGUUUUAUAAGAGAAGGAAGAAUUUUUGGAGUAGUGAUAAAAUACUUUUAUACCAAAAAGACUGAUAACGGCGAAGGCAUCCUUCUAUGUAAAAACUGACGUUGAGGGACGAAGGCUUGGGUAGCAAUAAGGAUUAGAUACCCUAGUAGUCCAAGCAGAAAAUGAUGAAUGUCAUAAGCUAGAUAACUAAUUUAGUAUAUAAAUGAAAGUGUAAGCAUUCCACCUCAAGAGUAAUAUGGCAACAUAUAAACUGAAAUCAUUAGACCGUUUCUGAAACCAGUAGUGAAGUAUGUUAUUUAAUUCA